UCCCAUGAUAAGGCUCAAAAGAAGCGAUCUCUAAAAUACAUAACACGUGAUCUAUUAGUAUAUACCAGUGAUUAGCUCCAUUGGUUAGACUCAGAAAGGAACUAACUUUGAUUCACAUGAUCAUGAUUAACCUAAUAAUAAGACAAAGAGAUUAAUCUUAAAAAUAAAUAUGCAAUGCAUCGCAUGUGCCAGCAAUCAUCUCCGAUUGGCUAGGUUCAGAAGGACUAACUUUACCAAUGAUCAGCCCCGACUGACUAUGUUUAGGAGAAAUUAUUUUUUAGUCAUGUGGCUGAUGAUUAAUCCUGUUGGUUAGAUGC
rnacentral:lncRNA from 1 species